GACUGCCUGCCGCACGUUACUGCCUAUCGAAACUGGGGGGAGUGGCAGUAAAAAUGUACCAUUAACAGUUACAGAGAAAGGGACCCUGGAUGCGUUUCCACUUCGGAGGCAAACAUCUGCCGCACAGAACCGGACGCUUUCCACGCGAUAGCGAGGGGGGAGAAAAGGGUUAAUCAGAUUCAUUUGAAGGAGCAGGAAGGGAAAAAAAAACAUUGCCGCUUGCAAACUGCUGAUGGGGCGUUUCCCAGAAUACACCGCGGAGCCCCGCACGAUGAUUACCAGCCACUUCCUGCGCCAGCCGCGUCCGAUGAUCCUGCGGGAUGACGCCGCUGUUGCUAUAAUUAAACCGGCAAUCCUUUACUCCAGGGAGCUCUUGACAUAUGCGCCGAGUGAUUUAUGAAGGGAACUGUUGCUGCAAAUACUACACUUACAAAGGGACCCUGGCAAGCAGGUACAGGUCCAGCGAGCUCCAAUCAGCGACCGGUUGCAUAAAACACAUUAAGAGAAGUUGUUAAGAAGAAAACUUCCCCUUAAGAUGCCCUGCACUUUCAGUGAGUUGCACUAAAGUAUUUACUGAGGUAAUUUCCUUAAACAACAGCAUCGCAUGACAAUGCAAAAAAAAAUAAAAAAUGUCAACCAGGCCAUUCCAGCAAACAAAGGGCCUGCCCAUAUGAGUAUGGAUCACUGAAUGAAGUGUAAAAGAUAAACCUGAAUGCAUUCAAGCGAGUCAACAGGUGGACCACAGAGAGGUCUGAAAUGCACCAGACCACAAAGCCCAGACUACGCAGGCGGCGAGGACCAGAAAUGGACUGUGGCUGCAGCCUCUGUGAUCGAUCCUUCACUCAGCCUCUCGCACACUAAAUCUGAACCUUGGUGAUACCUUCCGGAUACAUGGCUGCUUUUCCACUGGAGGAGGUCAUAAUAAAGCAUAUUCAGUCAGACAA